UACGUAGGUGACCAGCGUUGUCCGGAUUUACUGGGCGUAAAGAGCGCGCAGGCGGUCAGAUAAGUCGAAUGUGAAAGCCCCUGGCUCAACUGGGGAGGGUCAUUCGAUACUGUUCGACUCGAAGGCAGGAGAGGGAAGUGGAAUUCCCGGUGUAGUGGUGAAAUGCGUAGAUAUCGGAAGGAACAUCAGUGGCGAAAGCGGCUUCCUGGACCAGUACCGACGUUCAGGCACGAAAGCGUGGGGAGCAAACAGG
rnacentral:rRNA from 1 species